UAGGGAAUCUUGCGCAAUGCGCGAAAGCGUGACGCAGCAACGCCGCGUGGGGGAAGAAGGCUCUCGGGUUGUAAACCCCUUUCAGUUGGGACGAAGCUCCGUCGGUUAAUAGCCGCCUGGAGUGACGGUACCUUCACAAGAAGCACCGGCUAACUACGUGCCAGCAGCCGCGGUAAUACGUAGGGUGCAAGCGUUGUCCGGAAUUAUUGGGCGUAAAGAGCGUGUAGGCGGUCCGAUCAGUCCGCUGUGAAAGUCCAGGGCUCAACCCUGGGAUGCCGGUGGAUACUGUCGGACUAGAGUCCGGAAGAGGCGAGUGGAAUUCCUGGUGUAGCGGUGAAAUGCGCAGAUAUCAGGAGGAACACCAAUGGCGAAGGCAGCUCGCUGGGACGGUACUGACGCUGAGACGCGAAAGCGUGGGGAGCAAACAGG
rnacentral:rRNA from 1 species